rnacentral:lncRNA from 1 species
CGCGGGCGGGGAGGGAGUUGAGAGCACCGCGGCUGCCUGGCUUCCCUGAGUCCCGGCUGCCGGGAACGGGCGCGGGGGUGAAUAGGAACCGGAGGGCUGAGAUCUCAGAGAAUGUACAACCACCCAAGAACACCACCAAGAUGAGGCGCAGGGACUCACUGGAAGCCUUGUCUUCCUUAGUCAUAUCUGUGAGGAUCAGACCAGAUUCAGCUCUUCCCUGACAUGCUAGUCCUGAGUGGUGCAUCCAGCCCACCUCUCACUGCCAGCCUACCCCACUGUUAAUGCCACAUACCUGUGAAUGCAAAGUCACUGCAGUUGAGCAGCCGUACCACCUCAUCAAGGCCCUGCCAGCUUCGCCGCUCUAGCACCUGGGAAGGUGUAAGCACUGUUUUUAAGGCUACAGACAGUAUCAGGCUUAGGAAAGGAAGGGCACAGCAGCCAGACUGUCACAUUUCUUGCUCAUUACUCAAGUAGCAAAAAGUUGAGACAGGGCCAGGUGUGGUGGCUCACGCCUGUAAUUCCAACACUUUAGGAGUUUGAGGCGGGGGGAUCACCUGAGGUCAGGAGUUCGAGACCAGCCUGGCCAACAUAUAGUUGGCCCCGUCUAUAUGAAACCCCAUCUCUACUAAAAAUACAAAAAUUAGCUGGGUGCAGUGGCACAUGCCUGUAGUCCAGCUACUUGGGAAGCUGAGGCAGGAGAAUCACUUGAAUCUGGGAGGCGGAGGUUGCAGUGAGCCAAGAUCGCGCCACUGCACUCCAGCCUGGGUGACAGAGCAAGACUCCAUCUCUCAAAGAAAAAAAAAAAAAAGUUGAGACAGGCCAGGGACCAAGAGAAAGCAGAGAGAGUGAAAUAUGAAUGGGAGCAAGAGUAACAUGCUCUCACCUGCUCAAUGAUUCGGCAGCUCAGGGGCACAUAAGCACCACUGAAGACGUAAGCCAUGUCUCGGGGCACUUUCAGAUCAUACUCACCGUCCACACGUGGGAUCUGUAAGACAAAGGGACUUCAUUAGGCAAGUGACAGCUCAGCUCCCUAACCCUUUAAAGGAUCAGAUAAAGUGGCAUAGCCCAAGGAACAAUUCUUACUUCAACUAAAGGGAGAACCAGCAAUAGCCCUGAAAAGAGAAUCCAUAACGGAAGAUGGCAGUUUCUGUUCAGUAACUGCCAGUUCUCUGGAAUGAGUUCCCAUGCGCCAUUAUUGAAUAAUGUAAAGGGGCUGGAGGGAUGGGUUCUCCUUUCCCUGCCCUUAAGUGACACAGGAUAUGGUUGUCACUGAAGCAGCACUUAGAAUAUUCUCUGGCAUUGGCAGGUGCUUGUUACAUGUUGAUUAAAUGAAUGAAUCUACCAUGCUGUAAGACUACCAAACAAAAGAAUCUUUAUACACAUGAAAUGACAAAAAGGUUUUUGUGGAUUCAAAGUACUCCACAAUGGGCUGGGCGCAGUGGCUCAUGCCUGUAAUCCCAGCACUUUGGGAGGCCGAGGUGGGCGGAUCACCUGAGGUCAGAAGUUCAAGACCAGCCUGGCCAACAUGGGGAAACCUUGUCUCUACUAAAAAUACAAAAAUUAGCUGGGUGUGGUGGCACAUGCCUGUAAUCCCUUGGGAGGCUGAGGCAGCAGAAUCACUUGAACCUGGGAGGCAGAGGUUGCAGUGAGCUGAGAUUGUGCCACUGCACUCCAGCCUGGGCAACAGAGCAAGACUCCCUCUCAAAAAAAAAAAAAAAAAAAAAAAGUACUCCACAAUGGAAUGAACCCACUGUCUCCCCUAACCAUCCCUGUUCCACAUACCAAAUUCAGCUUUUUGCUGAUGGCACGAAAAUUGCUCCUCUUGGCCAGAGAACUGAAGGCAUCAGUAAUCUUUCCUGGGGAAGAAAUCUGUGUCAGGUUUCACCUAAGGUCUAUGGAUUCAUGACACUGCCACAGAUAACACCAUUCAGGACACGACAGCACCAAUCACAUCCAAAAACUCUCGGAAGCUAUUCAACUAUAAUUCCCUGGAACUAAUCAAGAUAUACUCCCCACCCUUCUCCCCACCCACAGUCUUCCCCCUCCUACGGUGUACCAGCUCUCUACUAAAUGCAAUCCACAGGGUAACCCGAGUUUAUUGGUAUGUGCUUUGGAGUUAAACCGACCUAACUUACUAACUAAGGGACCCUGGACAAAUCACUUAAUUCUCUAAGCCUCAGUUUCAUCAUAAAAUGAGGAUGAGAAAAUUUAUCUCAUAGUCUUUGUGAGAUUAAAUGAGAAACUAAAGGGCUCAGCACAUGGUAAGUGUUUACUAUGUGGAAACCGCUCUUACUAGCAGAAGUAGUAGUAAUAAUAGUAAUGACAUUAAUAGGAAGGAAUCAGUCCACCUUCUCCAAUUCAUUCUGUCCCUCCCAGCAUGCUGCCUGUUGAGAGAAGUCAGGACAACAGCUGGAGCAGGGGUCACUUGUGCUCCCUGCUUACCUGCAGCCUUGUCGGUCACCAGCUUGCUCACUUUACUCUCCACGGCUGUGAGGGUGUCCCCGGGGGCCUGCUCCGUUAGGAGCCCAGCUCUUCGCAGAUUGGAGAAGGUUAGCAGGUGCUCAGGGCCAUAGCUCUGAAGAAGAUGCAAUUAGACUAUUUACUGAGUGUCCAAAGAGCAUCUAGCACUGUCAGGUACUACAGAGUUGAGCAGAAGGACUAUGAAGCCUCUGCUGCACUGUGAAGGAGCUCACACUUUGUUGAGAUAAAUUUUCACAUCAGAAAUAACCAAACAGGGCUGGGAGCGGUGGCUUAUGCCUGUAAUCCCAGCACUUUGGGUUUGGGAGGCCAGGGAAGGCAGAUCACUUGAGGUCAGAAGUUUGAGACCAGCCUGGCCAACAUGGUGAAACCCCAUCUCUACUAAAAAUACAAAAAUUAGCUGGGCAUGGUGGCUCGUGCCUGUAGUCUCAGCUCCUCAGGAGGCUGAGGCACAGAAAUGCUUGAACCUAGGAGGCAGAGUCUGCAGUGAGCGGAGAUCGCGCCACUGCACUCUAGCUUGGGCAACAGAGCGAGACAUCGUCUCGAAAUAAAAAAAAAAAAAAAAAGAAAAGAAAUAAUUAGCACCAAACAAAGAAGAAUAAAAAGCAGCAUGAGACUUUAGAGACCCAUGGAUGUAUGGGAAAGGCUUCCUGGAUGAAGUAAGACUUGAGAAGUACCAGGAAGGAAAGCUGAAUCAAUGCCUCACACGGUGCUAAAAUGAGGGAGACUCCCAGGAGUAAGAACUCACCACUGGGGCCAGCACUGAAAUGUUUAAAUUCUCAGCACUGGCCAUGCGCCGUCAGUGUGUGGGGUGAAACAAGGGUAGAGGGCAGAGAGGCGUGCUGAAAGGUGACUCUCCCUAGUAGCUCUAAGAGGGAGGCCUGAAUGGAAACAGGAGGGUAAUGGAGGCAGGAAAGGGGCCACUUCUCUUGCCUCUUUCAAAAAUGCCCAAUAACUGCCCUCCAUCAAGUUCCCUCAAGAAUACAUUCUCCAGGCCUUACCUGCAGAUACUGUGUUUUCAGAGAUCGGUAAUCCUUGGGGAUCAAACCUAAGAGUGAAGAAAAUAAGACAGGUGCAUGAGAAAGGCCGGCAGAGGCACCCUAAAAUGUACAGAUCAACCAGCAACGAACGCCUUCUUCAGGAGGAAGGAUUCAGUAAAUGUUAACCCUGCAGAGUAUACAGUUGGUUCUAAAUUUAAGCUUGCUUAUUGAAAGAUAAAGCCUUGGUCUGGGAGCUCCCAAGAAGAGCUGUGAAACGUAAGGGUGCUGAGGAGGGGACACUGGAACUAACGGUGAUCGUAGUGGGAUGUGGGGAGGAUGCAGCAGGAGGGAGGAGAAGUGACGACUCAUGCAUUUAUUUAUUUAUUUAUUUAGAGA